rnacentral:lncRNA from 12 species
GUCCCUGAGCUCUGCUGGCGCGCCCGGGCCUCCUGUGGCCGAGGAGGGAGAGGGGCCCCCCUUUCUUUCCCACCCUCCAUCACACCUUCGGACCCCUCAUCGCAGCCAACGGUGUUCUUAAUAUCUUGCAAAGGCGUAGUAUCAGGCUGGGACAAGGCGGCUCAGUCCUGUCUGCACAUUCCAGCCCCUUCCUACCCCCAGACAGUCUGGAAGCAGGAGCUGAGCCUCCAGCCCACGGGAACAUACCUAAGACCAACCUCGUGUGUGUUCAGGAGAGAGAUAGGUGUGGGGUCCAGUUGAUGCUUCCAGCCACAGUAUAUUUGCUCCUAAACCUUCGUGUUCCUGUUCCCUGGCAAAAUGAGGAAAGGAGGAGGGCUCAGGAGAAGCCAUCAGAUCUUGUCCCAUAUUUGGUAUCUGCUUUUCCCAGCCCACAAGGGAAGGACCAUGUGCCAGGGGUCGUUGUCGUUCAGAGAUGUGGCUGUGGGCUUCACCCGAAAGGAAUGGCAACAGCUCGACCCUACACAGAGGAUGCUGUACCGGGACGUAAUGCUGGAGAACUACAGCCACCUGGUCUCCGUGGGAUGUCAAGUCACCAAACCAGCUGUGAUCUCCAGGUUGGAGCAAGGGCAAGAACCAUGGAUGGAAGAGGAGGAAAUCCUCAGAUGGAGCUUUCCAGAAAUUUUGCAAGCUGACCACCAAGUAGGUAGACCCCAGGGACACCAAAACAAACUUCUGAGGCACAUUGCAAUCCUUGACAAGCAAGAACUAGCCAAGAAAGGGUAUCACGGAUGUAGCACAAUUGAAAAAACAGUCUUUCAGGACACAAACCAGGCUCCCUCAAAGCAGCCAGCCCAUACCUGUGACUCAUGUGGAAUGAGUUUGCCAUGUAAUGUAGCCGUUAGCCCUAAUGCCUACCUCGCCAGAAGGAGAUUUGAGUGUGAUGGACAGGGGAACUUAUUUCUGUACUCUAAGCUCGAAACACCCCCUUCUGGAGUCCAGCCACGUGAGUGUGACAGGUGCCGGAAUGCCCUCAGCCGUGACCAGGCCCUUCGUGCCCACCAGGGUGCUGGCAGUGCCGAGAAAGCCCACAGGUGUCCCCAGUGUGGGAAAGGCUUCUCCUGUGAACCGGAACUCAUUGUGCACCGGAGGGUUCAUGGGGGUGAGCAGCCCUCUGCACCUGGUAAGAUAAGCAUAUCGGUGCCGGUCGCAGUGCUUGCCGGAGGGAAGCCCUACAAGUGCUCCGAGUGUGAGAAGAUCUUCUCCCAUAAGUCCCGUCUCAUUGAGCACCACCGGUCCCACACCGGGGAGAAGCCCUACGGCUGCAAAGAGUGCGGGAAGUCUUUCUCGCGAAAGUCGUGCCUCAUCAUCCACUACCGCAUCCACACCGGCGAGAAGCCCUAUGGCUGUGGCGAGUGUGGGAAAGCCUUCUUCCAGAAGUCUCACCUCAUCCUGCAUCAGAGGACUCACACAGGGGAGAAGCCCUACAAGUGCAGCGAGUGUGGGAAAGCCUUCUCGCAGAACUCCUGCCUUAUCAUCCACAAGAGAACUCAUAUGGGCAAGAAGCCGUACGAGUGCUCAGAGUGUGGGAAGACCUUCUCCCAGAAGGCGAACCUCAUUCGCCACCACAGAAUCCACACCAGGGAGAAACUGUAUGGGUGA